rfam:Brassica napus, WGS project CCCW01000000 data, contig: 9980
GGAAUAUAAGAAACCGUCUCUUAACUUUUAACUAAAAAAACUAAGAACCGGCUUUAAGAGCUUUUUUAGUUAAAAGUUAAGAGACGGUUUCUUAUAUUCC